UUUUUGUCCAGAUAAAAAUGUUUGGAUUGAUGCAAGAAAAUACAUGUGAAAAGCAAAACCUAGAUUUUAGUAUGUGUUAUGCUAUUGACUUAGGGCUCUGGUGUGAAAGUUAGCAAAGAAAAAGGAUAAAGUAGAAGCUAUUCUGUUCAGCAGAUAAGAAGUUCCACAACCACGGGUGGAAGAAAUCAAUGAGGAAGGAAAAGAGGAAUGAAAUUCACAGAAAAAGUAGGACAAAGGGGUUACCAGAUGACAGGAGGUACCGUUUAAUAACAUUUGACUUGCCAGUGAAAUCUUUUCUACCCACUGAAGGUUAAAUGCGAGUGGAUUUUUGUGAAAACCAGUGAAAGGAUGAAAUUUCAAGCCAAUUUUGGCUCAUAGAGAUAUCAAAGUAGGCUGCAGUAGAGUGAGAAGCUUUUUAAUUAGAAUGCCUAAGAGUUGAGGUGAUUUGACCAAUUGUAGGCUCGGGCCUUGGGGUUCAACCAAAUGUAUCCGGGAGACCAGAGAACAGGACCCUUCCACAGUCCCAGGUGCACACAGAAUUCAACGUGGUAGCCAAGUCUCAAAAAAAGGAGAAGAGAACUCAAUAUAAUACAUGACUGGCUCUGUAAGCGGCCCAGCCCCGCAAGGAGAGAGAAGGUGAGGACAGAAUGAACCACGAGCCUCAGACAGUGCAGGAGAGAGCUGAACGCUGCCUGUUUCAAGGCAACUCAGCCUGAAAGUCAUGAAACGUGUGCUGUGCUGACAAUAAUGGCAGAGAAGAUGGGAAGGAGAUCAACAGAUGGAGAAAAAGGAAGACCAGGAAAGGUGACUGAAGAGGAAGAAAGAUGCGUUAUGUACACAUACCAACUCCACACGAGGAAUAUAAACAUUAUGUACUUCAAGCAUGGGCUAUAAAGUUAUUUAAAAUACCCUA